CCUCCCAUCACCUUUCUCUUCUUCGUCGCCUGCAGUCUCUCUUUCCCAGUCCCGAAUCUUCCCUCUCCUCCACGCCCUCUGCGAGGGUCGGCGCCUCGGCGGGCGAACGUCGAGCUCCUCCUCGUCUCAUCGGCUCGUCGCUCCUCGUCCCCAACCCCGACCUCGAGCUUCUCCUACUCCUCGUCACGCCGGCCGCCGCGCACCCUUUGACCUCGACAGAUCGACCUCGCCGCCGAGCCCCCGACACCAACGGCAGCUCUUCUCAUCCUCUCCCCCCUCAGGUGACCCGGUCCCAACCUCCCCUGCUGUAGAGUUGUGCCUCGGUGCUUAAUUCCCAUGCUCUUUAUUCGUGCCGUCUCUGUGGGUUCCGCUCCUCUGCGGCCUGCGCCUCCCGCUGGCUCCAUGGAAUCUGCACGCGGCUUGAUUGCUUGGGAUGCUGCUGUCUCUUGGCUGCUGCUGCUGCUGCUAUUGGCCCGUAUGGGAAGCAGGUGCAGCAUGUGCGGUGGCACAGGGCCCCUAAAAUUUUGGGGCCCCAAAAAAUAACUUAAAUGGCAGUUAGUAGUAUUAAUCACGGGAAUAUCCAAGCAACGUUCAUCUGCUGUGCAAGGUUCCAACCUCCAAUGCCAACGAGUUUCAGAUUCCAAGGCCAGUACACAAGCGCACGCCUUUCUCUUGACCUCUCUCUCCAUUUAAAUGACAUUUAAUACUAGUAUAAAUUACCACUUAGUUGGAUUAGUAAAUUCCUCAAGCAUCAUAUCCGGAACUAGUACAGUCUGUUCUGCUACUAUUCUUCUCCAGUUUUUCCGUUAUCCUUGAACCAAAUGACUUCACAAAUUCUUCAAAGAAAUUUGAGGGUGGCAUGGAUUCAUAUGCUCCACUCUCAUCUAUAGAUUUUCUUCUCAACAUCCACCUCUCUUGUAUUAUUAUUAUUACGAAGAUUAUGUUUAUAGUAUGCUAAAUAAGUACUCCCUCCGUCCAGAAAUACUUGUCGGAAAAAUGGAUGUAUCUAGACGUAUUUUAGGUCUAGUUAUAUCCAUUUUUAUCCAUUUCUCCGACAAGUAUUUUCGAACAGAGGAAAUACGAUUUUCUUCAUAUAAAGAGCCUAAUUGCAUCCUAUUUUGCACCGGGCCCCCGGAUCCUCGGGUACGGCCCUGCCAUUACUUUGACAUAACGGAAUUGCAUGAAAAAUUCCGGCUUGUAUGCUCUGAAAAUUGCACCCGGCCGCCUCUGCUGCCGUGUCCACGCAAAGAGCGCUUAGGCGAGCUAGGUGCUAGGCAGAGGCAAAACAGUUGUCUAACGCCUAUCGCUUAACGGACCGUUUAUACUUUAUACACAUAUAAUGCUUCUAGAAUUUCCAAGACAUGAAAUCCGUAUGUGCUCACGUGCAACAUUUUUGUACCAAAAUAUUGUCUCAGAUUCCAUCACAUUUUGCAGAAACCACCCUCAGAUGGAACCGGCAAAGAACGGGAAGGGCAAGGAGAACACAGAAGAGCAUAAGAAUGAAACAGAAGAGAAGCUAGUUGUGGACAUUGUGGACAAUGAUUAUAUAGAUGCAGUUGAAGAAACAAACUCCAUUUCCACUGAUACCCUUGUGAGUGAGAGUGAUUCUGAGAGUGACGAUUCCGAGAGUGACGCACCUCAACGAGCGCCAAGCAACAGAACCCGAGGAGGAGGACGAGGAGGCAAUAGAACCCGAGGAGGAGGAGGAGGGCGAGGGGGCAACAGAACCCGGGGAGGAGGAGGACGAGGGGCUAACAGAAUCCGAGGAGGAAGAAGAGGGGGUACGGGACGCACUAGUGGUUAGCAUCUUUAUCGGCAUUGCCAAAAUAUUAGUGCAAUUUGAAUGAUGUUGCAAUUGCCUUAGGUCUGGAACUCCAAACUUCUAACUUUAAUCCUUUGUUAGCCGUUCUUACCAUAGUUCAGGCUUCAACACCGUAGCGGCUUCUAUGUUGUGUGAUCUCGAUACCAUGUUUGGUUUUGAGCUCCAGUAAUUCAGAGCUUGCAUACAUUUAGUUCUUUUGCCUUCUGUCUAUUUCUUGCUGUUUGAGUAUCUAGGACUU